CCUACGGGGGGCUGCAGUGGGGAAUAUUGGGCAAUGGGCGAAAGCCUGACCCAGCAACGCCGCGUGAAGGAAGAAGGCUUUCGGGUUGUAAACUUCUUUUGACAGGGACGAGCAGAAGACGGUACCUGUCGAAUAAGCCACGGCAAACUACGUGCCAGCCGGCGCGGUAAUAAGUAGGUGGCAAGCGUUGUCCGGAUUUACUGGGUGGAAAGGGCGUGUAGCCGGGCUGAAAAGUCAGAUGUGAAAUCCGGGGGCUCAACCCCCGAACUGCAUUUGAAACUGUUGGUCUUGAGUAUCGGAGAGGCAGGCGGAAUUCCUAGUGUAGCGGUGAAAUGCGUAGAUAUUAGGAGGAACACCAGUGGCGAAGGCGACCUGCUGGACGACAACUGACGGUGAGGCGCGAAAGCGUGGGGAGCAAACAGGAUUAGAUACCCCAGUAGUC
rnacentral:rRNA from 1 species